rnacentral:hammerhead_ribozyme from 1 species
AUCCAACUGAUGCGUCUCAAAUAGGAGGAAACGAGCGUCAAAGUGGAU